rnacentral:rRNA from 1 species
AUUGAACGCUGGCGGCAUGCUUUACACAUGCAAGUCGAACGGUAACAGGCCUUCGGGUGCUGACGAGUGGCGAACGGGUGAGUAAUGCAUCGGAACGUGCCCAGUCGUGGGGGGUAACGCAGCGAGAGCUGUGCUAAUACCGCAUACGAUCUGUGGAUGAAAGCGGGGGACCUUCGGGCCUCGCGCGAUUGGAGCGGCCGAUGUCAGAUUAGGUAGUUGGUGGGGUAAAGGCUCACCAAGCCAACGAUCUGCAGCUGGUCUGAGAGGACGACCAGCCACACUGGGCCUGAGACACGGCCCAGACUCCUACGGGAGGCAGCAGUGGGGAAUUUUGGACAAUGGGGGCAACCCUGAUCCAGCAAUGCCGCGUGCAGGAAGAAGGCCUUCGGGUUGUAAACUGCUUUUGUACGGAGCGAAAAGGCUUCCUCUAAUACAGGGGGCUCAUGACGGUACCGUAAGAAUAAGCACCGGCUAACUACGUGCCAGCAGCCGCCGUAAGAC